GGAAGCAACAACGAUGGCAAGAAUAAUUUCUAGGAUUAAUAGGACGAUGGAUCCCGCCAUCGAGUAUGAUUCAGUAUGAUGUGAAGGCUUACAUUUCACUCGGGAGAGGCUCUGAAGGAGAUAAUGGCAGGGAUCCAUGAGGGGAGAUCAAUGCCAUGUUUGAGCUGCCUAAUAUGUGCAACAGAUGCAAAACAUGUCUUGAUUUGCCACCAUGUUGCAAUUACAAGAGUAGUAACUGAUUUAGUACUAUGUUAAUGCCACAAUUCCACGUUUUGAACAGGACAAGGUGACACUGAACAGUACACACUCAAAUGUAGAUUAACUUCGGCCAUCUCAUGCAGUCAUGCUUUGUAUACACACACGUAGUCUAAUGAAUAAGUACCAGGGCCUUGGAAAAAAUAAUUUACGUUAUACGCUAAGGUUCUGGAGUGAACAUUUCAAAUGCCAUGUACAGUUCAGAAUAGCUAACGCUA